AGAGUUUGAUCCUGGCUCAGAACGAACGCUGGCGGCAGGCUUAACACAUGCAAGUCGAGCGCCCCGCAAGGGGAGCGGCAGACGGGUGAGUAACGCGUGGGAACGUACCCUUUGCUACGGAAUAACUCCGGGAAACUGGAACUAAUACCGUAUGUGCCCUUCGGGGGAAAGAUUUAUCGGCAAAGGAUCGGCCCGCGUUGGAUUAGCUAGUUGGUGGGGUAAAGGCCUACCAAGGCGACGAUCCAUAGCUGGUCUGAGAGGAUGAUCAGCCACAUUGGGACUGAGACAUGGCCCAAACUCCUACGGGAGGCAGCAGUGGGGAAUAUUGGACAAUGGGCGCAAGCCUGAUCCAGCCAUGCCGCGUGAGUGAUGAAGGCCCUAGGGUUGUAAAGCUCUUUCACCGAUGAAGAUAAUGACGGUAGUCGGAGAAGAAGCCCCGGCUAACUUCGUGCCAGCAGCCGCGGUAAUAC
rnacentral:rRNA from 1 species